GGUUCUCCUCUCUCUAAUGUUCUCCUCUCUCUAAUGUUCUCCUCUCUGUUCUCCUCUCUCUAAUGUUCUCCUCUCUCUAAUGUUCUCCUCUCUGUUCUCCUCUCUCUAAUGUUCUCCUCUCUGUUCUCCUCUCUGUAAGGUUCUCCUCUCUCUAAUGUUCUCCUCUCUGUUCUCCUCUCUGUAAGGCUCUCCUCUCUGUAAUGUUCUCCUCUCUAUAAUGCUUUCCUCUCGUUAAUGGCCAUACAGCUUGAUCUCCUGUUCAGAAGGUCAACUUGUGAGUAAUGAUCUGUUGCUUCGCUGCUCGUCCAUUUUCCCUUGAUGGCGCUGACCAUAACUCAUCUGUCUCUCUCUCUCUCUCAUGCAACUGCAGCGAUUAUUGGAGGAUUUAUUUUAGUCUGGCCAGCACCGGACACAUGCAGCAGUGUUAUACCUCUCUUUUGGAUGAGGGUGACAUAUGGCUGGUGGACAUGGGAUCCAGAGUGACAGCUUCCUGUUUACAAGCUGCCCAGAGACUUCUGUAGUAGCAGGGGGUGUGUUAGAGAGACACUGCUUGGGCUGUUUUGAAGAGAACAGGGGACCUUGGGUACGACACAAUCUUGUUCCUUUUGGAUCUGGAGCAGAUCGAUAUGUCAGCCAUAACUCCGUUCUACCGCACCCGUGCGUAGAUGGACAAUGGAGGAUCCAUUGUUUUAUAACCCACUUAUCUGGACCAGAGUCCUGGCCUCUACCACCUUUGUGGGCCAGGCUUGUAAGAGUUGAGUUCACUAAGUUGGGUGACCUGCAAGAAGAGGCUUGGUGGAAAUCUGCCAGCAACAUGGUGGAGGUUUUCUCCAUAAAGUCCACCAGGCUGCUGCAGCAGGUGGUGGAAGGGGUCCGUGCUGCACCACCGAGAGCUGCUGCGGAGUAGGCGGUCCGAGGAGCCACCACGCCGGACACCGAGUGACCGACCACUUACCUGAGAGGCCUAUCAGUUGUAUUUGUCCCAUACCCGAUCCCCCAACGUUCAUGAAAGAACAACUUUUGUUUGAGCACCAGAAAUCGGUCUCCCACUGUCUUAUUUUAUUAUAGAAUCACCAAACCACACAGUGGAGGGUCCAAUUAUCAAGCGUACAACAAUAUCAGUGGAAAUAUUGACUCAGGGAAGCAAAAACAGUCUGGACUCUUGUUCCGUAAUGGAAAUAGCGACAUACAGGAGCAGUUGGGUUUAAGUGCCAUGCUCAAGGGUACAGACAGAUUUUCCACCUACUCGGCUAAGGGAUUUGAACCAGUGACCACUCUAGUUAUGAGCCCAAUGCUCUUAACCACUAGUCUGCAAGGUCUUGUCUCAUUGCUGCAACUCCCCAACGGGCUCGGGAGAGGUGAACGUCGAGUCUUGUGUCCCCCGAAACAUGACCUGCCUAACCGCACUUCUUAACACGUGCCCGCUUAAACUACACCAAUGUGUGAGAGGAAACACUGUGCAACUGACGAACAUAGUCAGCCUGCAGAAACCCAGCCUGCCACAAGGAGACGCAAGAGUGCGAUGAGCCAAGUAAAAACCUCCCUGGCUAAACAUUCCCCUAACCCAGACGACGCUUGCUCAAUUGUGCAUCGCCCUGUGGGACUCCCGGUCAAGGCCGGUUGUGACAUUGGCUGGGAUUGAACACAGAACAGUGAAAACUGGCUCUAACCAGAAUAGAAAGAGGAGUGGGAGACCCCAGUAAACAACUGAGCAAGAGAACAAGUACAUUAGAGUGUCUAGUUUGAAAAACAGACACCUCACAAGUCCUCAACUGGCAGCUUCAUUAAAUAAUACCCGCAAAACACCAGUCUCAUCGUCAACAGUGAAGAGGCCAGCAUCCUGGAAUACGAUAGAUACUCAAAGGCGUCGACUGCAUUCCUAAGGUGGAGACGAGGUUGGAAAUAGUGUGUGGGGUUGUUGCAUUUUACAGUUAUUACAUUUUACUGUUGUUAUUACAUUUUACUGUUGUUAUUACAUUUUACUGUUGUUAUUACAUUUUACUGUUGUUAUUGCAUUUUACUGUUGUUAAUACAUUUUACUGUUGUUAAUACAUUUUACUGUUGUUAAUACAUUUUACUGUUGUUAUUACAUUUUACUGUUGUUAUUGCAUUUUACUGUUGUUAAUACAUUUUACUGUUGUUAUUACAUUUUACUGUUGCUAUUGCAUUUUACUGUUGUUAAUACAUUUUACUGUUGUUAUUGCAUUUUACUGUUGUUAUUACAAUGUAUAUGGCCCUAAUGGCACCCUAUUCCCUAUAUAGUACACUGGCCCUGGUCAAAAUUUGUGCACUACAUAUAGGGAAUAGGGUGCCAUAGGGCUCUGGUCAAAAGUAGUGCACUAUAUAGGGAAUAGGGUGCCAUAGGGACCCCUGGUUCCAAUCCAUGCAACAGAUGGGAGGAAUAUGACAAUUUAAUGUGGAAUUGGCAUGAUCAACUCAAUAGUCGGUAGUAAUAUAAAUUAUUCAGUUACAGGGUUCAAAAGGUGAAAAGGAAGAACUGUACUCACUGAAAUAAAAUACAUUUUCAUGAA
rnacentral:lncRNA from 1 species